GAUGAACGCUGGCGGCGUGCCUAAUACAUGCAAGUCGAGCGAACGGACGAGAAGCUUGCGUUUCUGAGGUUAGCGGCGGACGGGUGAGUAACACGUGGAUAACCUACCUAUAAGACUGGGAUAACUUCGUGAAACCGGAGCUAAUACCAGAGAAUAUUUUGAACCGCAGAGUUCAAAAGUUAAAGACGCUCUGGCUGUCACAUAGAGAUGGAUCCGCGCUGCAUUAGCUAGUUGGUAAGGUAACGGCUUACCAAGGCAACGAUGCAUAGCCGACCUGAGAGGGUGAUCGGCCACACUGGAACUGAGACACGGUCCAGACUCCUACGGGAGGCAGCAGUAGGGAAUCUUCCGCAAAGGGCGCAAGCCUGACGGAGCCACGCCGCGUGAGUGAUGAAGGUCUUCGGAUCGUAAAACUCUGUUAUUAGGGAAGAACAUAUGUGUAUGUAGCUGUGCACAUCUUGACGGUACCUAAUCAGAAAGCCCCGGUUAACUACGUG
rnacentral:rRNA from 1 species